AUGUUUGAUUCCUUUGUUGCUUCUACAGGAAUUCCUUCCAAAAUGUCAACAAUAGCAAUGAAGCAGGAAACCGAUGAUCCUAAUUACUAUCAAUUUGGUGCUUCAGCAGGCCCUUCCAAAACAUCAGAGAUAGAGGAAGAAAUUGCUCCUGUAAAAAGUUACACAGAUUCGUCCCAGCAGCAUGGCAUGUCAGAAUUCAGAAUGGAUACUGAGCCAGAAAUCACUAGUGAUGAUGAUGUAGAUGAUGAUGAUGAUGAUGAUGACUAUCCACCCCCUGAAAAGAGACGGAAAAUCUCUGAGCUGGAAAAUCAAGCUUCCAAUAUUGUGGGAAGAACUGCAGAAGAGUUCAGUUUUGGUAAGAUGAAUAUUAACAAUUAUUUUAUCUUCCAGUAUUGUUUUUUGAAAAGGUUUUGGGGUAAUUUUGUCCUUCAAGAACAUUCAGUAUGCUCACAAAAAAACUUGUCACAUCAAUGGAUCACUUAGAACCUUUUUUACUGAAUUAAAGAGGCUGAAAAAUAGAAAAUAUGCAGCAUUUUUGGAAGUUCAUUCAGGAGCCAUGGGCUCUGUGUAGGUGGAUUGCAGCAGCACUAUCAUCAUCACGGUUUACCUCUGUUAUUUUUUGUUAUUUGUUGUGACAACGUAAAUAGACACACGGGAAGCUGGGAUCCUCAGGUUGUGUUCUUUCAUGAUCCAUUAUGUUUUGAGUUCUCCACAGAAACUCAUCCAUGCACUUCUGUUUAAUCUGGUUACAGGUGCUUUGCCUAGGAUUAUUUUGUGAUCCUGUUCCUCUUCUUAGUUCUGUUAUGUGGUUUGGUUUGGUUUGUGAACAAAUUAAUCUGUCUGCUUUUAUAAGAUUCUGUGCAGUCAGGAAUAUCUUAAAACAUCACUUAAACUUAACAGAACUAAACCUUAACAUCAC
rnacentral:lncRNA from 1 species